AUUAAAAACCAGUAAUUCAGAGGAAGUUCUAGCACUACUGAAAAUCAAGAGCAUUUCUCCCAUAUAAGGUUUGAAUUUAUAAACAAGAUUAUACGGAGAGAUACCUUAGUAACAAUUUUAGAGAAGGGAUCGUCAAGUACAUUCAUAAGUGUCCUUCAAGAUUGCUCAUGAGCAGCGUUUUAGCCAUAUGCAUGUACAGACCAAGUACUUGAAAUAUUCAGUGGGACUGACUGAAACAAAAGAAUCCAUCUCCAAAACAUAGUAUUGAUAGGGUUUCUU